AGCGGCGGACGGGUGAGUAACGCGUAGGAAUCUACCUAGUAGAAGGGGAUAGCCCGGGGAAACUCGGAUUAAUACCGUAUACCUCCUAAGGGAGAAAGAGGGCCUCUCUUGAUGCUCUCGCUAUUAGAUGAGCCUGCGUAAGAUUAGCUUGUUGGUAAGGUAAUGGCUUACCAAGGCUACGAUCUUUAGCUGGUCUGAGAGGACGAUCAGCCACAUUGGGACUGAGACACGGCCCAGACUCCUACGGGAGGCAGCAGUGGGGAAUAUUGGACAAUGGGCGCAAGCCUGAUCCAGCCAUACCGCGUGUGUGAAGAAGGCCUUCGGGUUGUAAAGCACUUUAAGCAGGGAGAAGAAGCAAUAAGUUAAUACCUUAUUGCCGUGAUGUUACCUGCAGAAUAAGCACCGGCUAAUUCCGUGCCAGCAGCCGCGGUAAUACGGAAGGUGCAAGCGUUAAUCGGAAUUACUGGGCGUAAAGCGCGCGUAGGUGGUUUGUUAAGUUGGAUGUGAAAGCCCUGGGCUCAACCUAGGAACUGCAUCCAAAACUAACUCACUAGAGUACGAUAGAGGGAGGUAGAAUUCAUAGUGUAGCGGUGGAAUGCGUAGAUAUUAUGAAGAAUACCAGUGGCGAAGGCGGCCUCCUGGAUCUGUACUGACACUAAGGUGCGAAAGCGUGGGUAGCGAACAGGA
rnacentral:rRNA from 1 species